rnacentral:lncRNA from 1 species
GUUUGUUUCUGUAGAAACUUCAUCUUUAGAUUAAAGUGUGAGGGAUGAGCGGUCAUAAGUCAAUUCUGUGGCUUUCUCUACCCAUCAGUCGUCGUCUCGCAGGAAUAGUAAAGGCAUUAAGGAUGCGGCAAGCAUGUACGCUGUUCUAAAAGAAGUAUGCAUCUCAUUUACUGUUGAACGUUUGAUUACGCAACUACUUUGAUUGUGUACGUGUGUACAUCCCUUACAGAUCUGAUCAAAAAUCGCUUUUCAUUUUGUUGCUAAUGUUAAAUAGUCUGUAGUACGUAGAGUACUGGGUCUAGAUGGUCCAAAGUGAGACAAAAAUGCUGAAGUCAAAUGCUAAGUCCUAAACAAAGCUGGUUUAUGCACUAAACGUUUUGUGCCUUGGUCUAAUAUUUAACACAAUGUCUGUAAAAAUGACAAAAAAAGAAAAAAAAAGAACCGACAUUGGCUCAUGCUGUAUCUGUAUCCUCCAUGAUAGUACGUCCUCCCACAUGACUAAAUGUGCUCCUACCUGGAUGCUUCACUGUCACCCAGGACAGUCGUGUCGUCGCUAGAGAUUUCAGUGACUACAAUCGCAAGCUAAAGCUUGAGUUGUUUUCCCAAAACUGUUCCUUGGAACCAUAUUGUGACGGUGGGUCCUUGCUUCUGUGUGUUGACUGUCUUCAGCUGAGUCCAGUUUAGGGAUCGUCUGUGAUGACAGGAAGGCUCUGCUCUCCUCAACACUGUGAUCUGACCUGCGACAACUCUACAAUACACUCUGAAUGGCUAGCACGUCCAUAGCAAACAAUCUGAAUGUACAAACCUUAGCGUGGUGCUGAAAUCUCUUGAGAAUAGUAACCGUGAUCUCAAAGUCUGUUCAAAACGUGUCAAUCAGAACUGAAGAUGAACCGCUGAUGAAUGUCCGGUCCUCAUGCCGCAGGCGUGUUUCCUGUCUAGGUUUUCAGUUCUCUGCUGUUACCACCAUAGCUGUUCCAGUUAACUCUCCUACACACUAACUUCAUUUGUGCGAUUGAAAUAAAAUUGCAGUAUGUGCAUGUUUCUUGUUUGUGACACUUAGAUGGUCUUCUGCAAUGAUGUGUUAAUUCCAAACCAAGUGAUACUGGGUGUGAAAUCAGCACCUUAGGAAGCCCAGGGUUUCACUGUUUACAGUUUAAACAUCAUGUCACUGUUCUUUAAAGAUUUCAUCCACGUCUGGCGUAGUGGAAAACACGAAGGGAAUAUGUAAUGAUCUUUCUACCUUUUGUUUUGCAGUAAGCGCUGUGUGCCUCUUCUGUCUUACAUGCUCCCAGCACAGCUUGUAGUCAAUGUGGUGAAAAGUGUUUUACUCCAUUCUUUUGUCCUAUAACACAGUCAUAUAUAUAUUUCACUUCAUUUACACGGUUCAUUUUUUUUCUUUAUGUAAUUUGCAUAUUAAAGGAUAUUGCCAAG